rnacentral:piRNA from 1 species
UCUGAGUUUGAAGAAGGCUUGCCUCCAGGU